CAUAAAUAGGCCACACAGGAAGAAGCCCCUCCUCAGUUACACUUCAGUUCAGCUUGGUGUUCAGACAGUCAACAUGGAGGUCGGCGCGCUCUGCAUCAAACUCUUGGUCCACGUGUUAUUCCUGCUGUGUGCACAUGUUCAGGACGUUGAUUCACUGAUUCUCCGUCUUGAACCAAACAGACUGCAGUUCUUUGAAUACGAGUCUCUGAUCUUCCAUUGUGAGGGCUCUCAAGACUCGACUGGAUUGAAAAUUGUACAUUGGUCCAAAGGGGAAUUACUCAAAUGUAACACUACAGUGACAUCAAAAAGGUCAUCCUGCACUAUUCCUACUAUUUUUCCAGAGGACAGUGGGCAAUACUGGUGUGAGUCCAGAGAUGGGAACAGAAGCGACAUCAUCCACAUCAAUGUUACUGAUGGUCCUGUGAUCCUGGAGAGUCCCAUCAGUGUGGUGGAGGGAGAGGCUGUGACUCUUCACUGCAGACACAAGACGACCUCACCCAACCUCUCAGCUGAUUUCUACAAAGAUGGCCACAAUAAUAGUAGAAGCUCUACAGGAAACAUGAGCAUCCCCAGUGUUUCCAAACAUGAUGAAGGAUUCUACAAGUGUAUCUCUGGAGGAAGAGAAUCAGCCGAGAGUCUGAUGGCUGUCCAAGAGUCACACCAAGAGAGUCGUGCGUCCUCAGAUGUUCCGUUCAUCAUCUUCAGAAACGUUCUCCCUGUAGUAAUGAUGGCUUUCCUGCUGAUGCUACUGGUGCUGCUGGAAGGGCUCCACUGUGGGAUAACUCUGAGGUAAACCCACAGGUAAACAACAGCACCUCAUGUGCACUCAAAUCGAGAUGGAGAUACUGAAAUAAAGGAUACGACAGGAUGAACUAUAAAGACAGACAUUUUCUCCAAAGUCUUGUUUGGUUGCCAGAAAUGAAGAGCAUCCCAUAAUGCUUCAUUCAGCUGCUCAGCUGCUGUCUUCCAUGUGUUACAGUGCACCUUGUUCAUUAUGUGUAAUGAUGAUCCACUUAUAUUCAGUGCAUGUUGUGCUAUAAGAAUCCAAUCCAUAGAAAUGUUUUGAAAUGAGCAGAUCAAAGAAAAUGGCAGCACUUCCUGUUUGACAUGUUCCACAUAUUUAAUUCACAUGUUGAUGAAUGUUCAACAGAUGUUCGUUCGUCUUCUGUAUAAGGACCUGAAGAUAUCACAAGUCAAAUAACACUGUGCACAGUUUGUUUCAGUGUCUUUCUAUAUUUGCAUCUGUUGAUGAAUAAUAAAUCACACACGAGAGGUAGCAGGAUUUAGGAAAGUUUUAACAAAUAGGAUUCAAACCUAAGCCUCCAAGAACCCAAAAUAACAGGAUAGCAAAAGAUCAGAAAGGUUAAAGCAAAAAAUUCCUUUCAUUUCAUCAAAAUCAAAUCAAAAAUGUGCUAAAUAAGGUGAAACGUUUCAAGCUUAAACAAGGAGGCUAUAAUCGUAGCUUAGACUAAACUCCACUUUGGGUGACCCAAGUGACACUCAAGAAAUUGGUUUAGACUUAUUGUAAUAAAACGUAAACUAAAUGGUGCCUGAUGUUCAAGUGUUCUACUAAGUAUUUUGGCAACAGUGUGGGAUAAUUCAAUCUAUACUCAAAACAGAGCAAGGAGUAUCCAGAGUAAUGACGGCGACAGUUCACUCAGCUGGUACCAACCGACCUUUGACACAGGAACCCCUCUAUUCUUUGAUCCAGUAGGUCGCAGUGUGACUGCUGAAUGAAGGACGAGCAGCACAUGAGAUGUUUGGUUGAACCUGAUGUGUGAAAAACCACUUUUUAUUUUAUUUUGCAUUGUAGAAAUGGUUUUCAUGCUUUGCGCCCUACAUGUGUUGAUGUUUAAAGAUAUAUUAAAGAGAUGUGGUUUGUAUUUUCAGAUGUAUUAUCUGUUAUUAUAUGGUGACAGUUAAACCCACAUGUUCCAUCUGCUGUGUGUAUUUUCGUGAGUGUGAAACUGUGGUCAACCACCACCUUGAUGCUGCAGCUUCACUUUCAACUGAAGCACGCUGACCGAGUCCAAAUAAAAAAAUGAGUCUGACA